CCCUGGUAGUCCCAGCCGUAAACGAUGGACACUAGUUUCCGGAGGAGUCAAUCCCUUCGUUGACGGAAGCUAACGCAUUAAGUGUCCCACCUGGGGAUUACGCUCGCAAGGGUGAAACUCAAAGGUAUUGACUGGUGCCCGCACAUAGCGUUGGAGCAUGUGCUUCAAUUCGAUGCAAUCGCGAAGAACCUUACCUGGGUUUGACAUGGGGGUGAAAGUUUCCAGAGAUGGAAGCCUUUCCUUCGGGAACACCCCACACAGGUGCUGCAUGGUUGUCGUCAGCUCGUGUCGUGAGAUGUUGGGUUAAGUCCCGCAACGAGCGCAACCCCUGCCCUUAGUUGCCAUCAGGUAAAGCUGGGAACUCUAAGGGGACAGCUUGGUAUAACCAGGAGGAAGGUGGGGAUGACGUCAAAUCAUCAUGGCUCUUACGCCCAGGGCUAGACACGUGCUACAAUGGCAGGUACAGUGGGAUGCCAGCCUGCGAAGGUGAGCUAAUCCCUUAAAACCUGUCUCAGUCCGGAUUGGAGUCUGCAACUCGACUCCAUGAAGUUGGAAUCGCUAGUAAUCGCGGAUCAGCAUGCCGCGGUGUAUACGUUCCCGGGCAUUGUACACACCGCCCGUCAAGCCAUGAAAGGCGGUAGUACCCGAAGUCGC
rnacentral:rRNA from 1 species